CAGUGAGGGAAUUAAGGACGGCAUGUUGUCCUUGUAACAGGGAUCCAGCAGGGUGGCCACCCAUUAAUCAGCAAAAGUUAGAAUGGGUGCAACUCGGCAGUCGUUGCGCAGGCACUUUGGUGACUCUAGAACCUUGGGCCGAUCACACGUCCCCGUGACGGCAACGACACAUUCGGAUGUAUGCCCUAUCAACUUUCGAUGGUACAUUCUGCGCCUACCAUGGUGACCACGGGUAACGGGGAAUCAGGGUUCGAUUACGG